AGUGAACGCUGGCGGUAGGCCUAACACAUGCAAGUCGAACGGCAGCACAGGAGAGCUUGCUCUCUGGGUGGCGAGUGGCGGACGGGUGAGGAAUACAUCGGAAUCUGCCCAGUCGUGGGGGAUAACGUAGGGAAACUUACGCUAAUACCGCAUACGACCUUCGGGUGAAAGAGGGGGAUCGCAAGACCUCUCGCGAUUGGAUGAGCCGAUGUCGGAUUAGCUAGUUGGCGGGGUAAUGGCCCACCAAGGCGACGAUCCGUAGCUGGUCUGAGAGGAUGAUCAGCCACACUGGAACUGAGACACGGUCCCGACUCCUACGGGAGGCAGCCGGGGGGAAUAUUGGACAAUGGGGGGAAGCCUUAUCCAGCCAUACCGGGUGGGUGAAGAAGGCCUUCGGGUUGUAAAGCCCUUUUGUUGGGAAAGAAAUCUUUCAGGCUAAUACCCUGGGAGGAUGACGGUACCCAAAGAAUAAGCACCGGCUAACUUCGUG
rnacentral:rRNA from 1 species